GGAGACUUAGCUCAAUGGUAGAGCGCUGGACUCCAAAUCCAGCGGUUGCGUGUUCGAUUCACGUAGUCUUCA
rnacentral:tRNA from 2 species